CGGACAUCGGAAGAAUGCAAGCCAUAAAGGAACAACUUGAGAAACGGCUUCAAGAAGAAGAAGAAAAUUGCAGAAUCAGGAAUAGGGACCAACUCUGUCUUCUAAACGAGCUUAAAGAUCAAAUUCAUCUUGCCAAACAAAAGGGAGAAGAAGACUCACAAUUCGCCAAAGUCUGGCUCAAAGCUCGCAACGAUUUCACCUCCGGACUCCAAAAGUCAGAGGUUUUGGACCGAAAACUGCAAAUCGAGGGCCUCAGCGAGUACGAAGAACGAGAUUGCGAAGCGUACGAAAACGUCGUGGCUUGGACGAAGCUCAAGUGCUCCCAGUUGGAUAAGCAGAUUGCCCAAUGGAAGGAAAAAUUUGCACUGGAUGAUAGCAAAAUGAAGGGAAAGAUAGCACGAAAGGAGGAAAGCAUUGCGGAGCAGGAGAAGAAAAUUACAGCCUUGGAGGAAUUGGUACCAAUUUUAAUUAAUUUAUAUUUCUUUAAUUAAGACUCAAAAAUUGACCAUUACACAGAUCCACCGACAAAUUGAAGAACUGAUUCCUUGGGAAGAAGAGAAAAAUCAGGAACGUUUAGAAAGAAUUCAGCACAUGCGGAGGUAUUACAGUUGUAGAAAGAUACAACGAUGGUGGAGAAAGUAUAUGAUUCAACACGGACUUUACAAGAAAAAGAAAGUUAAACCCAAACCCACUAAACCGAAAGGUACUAAAGGCAAAAUAAAAUCCCCCCGUCGUGCAUCAAAACCUUCGAAUCCAUAAUUUCGAGAAGUCCUAUUGUACCAAAUCAUGCAGAUGUCAACUUAACCGUUUCGUCAGCAAAUCAUCAAUAAUACUAUGCACGCAUAAUUCUGUCCUUGUCGUCAUAUUCAUGAUGUGUGUGUUAAUUGUUUUUUGAAAGUGUGGCAUACUAUUCUUGGAAGUCCUGGCUGAUACACAAAACACGCCUCUCUCAAUCUGUUCCUCCAGACUAGAAUAGAAUUUAUUUACACAAUGUAAUGUACUACACGGACGAGAUGUAAAAGUAAAAAAAAAGUUGCCAGGCAGAAAGAAACAGUUGCAGUUGGAUCUCUCUCACCUGUUUUUUUGCUGGUCCAUAUUGCGCCACCGCCACCGCGACGCAUGGGGAGCGCAGUGGGAGACUUUCAUUUCCGAUUCAACGCAACAUUUUUAAUUGCACGGUGCACUCUCACUCGGGGGGACUGCAUCCUGAUUCAUUGACGAUUAUGAAGAUGCAACUGCAACCGCCUUGGAACUUUUUCAAGGACCUCGUGAAGCCAGUGACCAAUGCUAUAUUUGUUUAUGCGUCGAAGUAAUGCGUGUAAAAUAUCAGUAUAAUCAAGCUUUUAGUUAGUUGUUGCAGGCAGUUUCUUUUCGACGUAUGUACGCAGUAACACGUAUUAGUUAGUAUUCAAUAAUAUGUUAAUAUCUAUGUUGAUAUUACCCCACUACCGUUUAUUGAACCCUAUCUGUGCAUGCAAUCAAUUCCAAUCUGAUGGAUUGGGUUGACAGUUUUCACUCAUUUCGUGGUAAUGGAUACAAAUGAAUAAAUUUAUCUUGGGGGAAGAUAAUCUCAUUGAAUUACUGGUCACGUCCUCCCCGUAAAUGUAUCUGCGUGUUGCAAAUAAGUAACAAUUUUUUGCAAACAAUUUAGCAUCAAAUAAUUCCCAUGUGUAAUUCAAAUUGAAUGAUCGUUCUGAGUUCUUUCUACUAUUAAAUUUCGGUGUGAUUUCGUCUCAUUGAUUUCAUCUGCUCGGUGGUCUGGUCUCUGGUGUGGCGUGGCGUCGUUCUCGUGCAUAUGCAGUCAAAUUCAGCCAGAAAAUCCGGAAGGGUUAGAGAGAAGGAAGGAGUGCAUUGCAUUUCCAUUGUUCGUGUUGAUCUGUGUGUACACAUAAUGAAAAUUCACUUUUCCUCCAAAUCGCCUUUUGAUUAAAUCUGGGCGAGAGAAAGGAGGGAGAAAAGCUAAACCUCUGGCUGCCUGCAUACAAUUCAACCACCGGAAUCGCAUCAUAAACUAGCAAACACAACGCUAAUAUGAUUUUAUCAAGCAAUCUGGAGGGGAAGGAAGAUAACGCACGCCUGACGACGACGACUUGACUCUCGGCGAGUGUUGUGUGCCUUACUUAAAUAAAAUAAAAUAUUCAAAGUAAAUAUAGCAAUAAGCCUGUAAUGUAAUCCUGUAAUGAUUUUAUAAACUCGCCUCGUCGUACCGUUUUUGGUUGACAAUCCCAAAGGCACAUGAAUCUCGUCGUGUGUAAUAUGAAAUCUAAUA